GUCCACCACCACAUCCACCACCACAUCAAACACCUCUUACACCUCUACGUCCAACACCACAUACACCACCAGGUCCACGACCACAUCCAACACCUCAUACACCACCAGGUCCACGACCACAUCCAACACCUCAUACACCACCAGGUCCAACACCACAUCCAACACCACAUACACCACCAGGUCCAACACCACAUCCAACACCACAUACACCACCAGGUCCAACACCACAUCCAACAUCUCAUACACCACCAGGUCCAACACCACAUCCAACACACUCAUACACCGCCACAUCCAAUGCCACAUACACCACCAGGUCCAACACAACAUAUACUACCAUGUCCAACACCACAUCCUACACCCCAUACAACACCACAUCCAACAUCCCAUACACCACCAGGUCACACACCACAUCCACCACCACAUCCAACACCUCAUACACUACCAGAUCAAACAGCACAUACACCAUCACAUCCAACACCACAUACACCACCACGUCCAACACCACAUCCGACACCACAUACACCACCAGGUGUAACACCACAUACACCACUAGUUGGACCUUGUGGUGUAUGUGGUGUUGGACCUGGUGGUGGAUGUGGUGGUGGAUGUGGUGGUGGACCUGGUGGUGAACAUGGUGGUGGGCUUGGUGGUGUAUGUUAUGUUCGACCUGGUGGUGUUGGAUGUGGUGUUGGACCUGGUAGUGUAUGUGGUGUUGGACCUGGUGGUGUAUAUCGUGUUGGAAAGGUGUUGGAUGUGGUGGUGGAACUGGUGGUGGAUAUGGUGUUUGACCUGGUGGUGGAUGUGGUGGUGCACUUGGUGCUGGAUGUGGUGGGCAUGGUGUUGGACCUGGUGGUUUAUGUGGUCUUGGAUGUGGUGUUGGAUGUGGUGGUGGACAUGGUGGUGGA
ensembl:lncRNA